UUAGAUAAUUUUACAAACCAGCAACACUCAUUCUUAACGUGCCUAACUCAUAACUGAAGAUGUGGCGCUACAAGUCUGAAAAGUGAUUCGAGCAAAUUCAGUGGGUGCCUUCCAUUUAGUACACAAGUCGACACAAGCAUUAUUUUAUCUUUUUUUCAACAUUCAAUGACAACAAAGACAGAAUGAUGUUUGUGUCUUUAAAUGGAAGUAUAUAGUUAUUUCAUUAUCAUCGAGUAUACUCAUUAUUUAAAAAAACGAUUUACUUUUGUGAACUUUAUUCUUUAUUUUUGGUUUUUCUAUAGAGAAAUACAGAAGUAAAGGUGCAGAGGGAGUAAAAAGAAUAUAAAUUUACUAAGUUACUAUAGAGAAUGGUAAUCAUGCAGCUAAUCACUGAGUGCCGCACAAACUCAAAAAUACAAAUAGGAAAGCACUAUAUGACAUGUAAGUUUAAAAUAUAUAAAAUAACUAUGAAAAUAACUAUUAAAUUAUAGUUACUUUCAUAAUUAUUUGAUACAUUUCAGUUACAAAAAUGAUGUAACUCGCAAUCAGUUAAGUCAUAGUUACUG